rnacentral:rRNA from 1 species
AACGAACGCUGGCGGCAGGCCUAACACAUGCAAGUCGAGCGAAGCCUUCGGGCUUAGCGGCGGACGGGUGAGUAACGCGUGGGAACGUGCCCUUUGGUACGGGAUAGCCCCGGGAAACUGGGAGUAAUACCGUAUGUGGUCGAGAGACGAAAGCGUUAUCGCCAAAGGAUAGGCCCGCGUUGGAUUAGGUAGUUGGUGGGGUAAUGGCCUACCAAGCCGACGAUCCAUAGCUGGUUUGAGAGGAUGAUCAGCCAAACUGGGAAUGAGACACGGCCCAGACUCCUACGGGAGGCAGCAGUGGGGAAUCUUAGACAAUGGGGGAAACCCUGAUCUAGCCAUGCCGCGUGAUCGAUGAAGGCCUUAGGGUUGUAAAGAUCUUUCAGUGGGGAAGAUAAUGACUGUACCCACAGAAGAAGCCCCGGCUAACUCCGUGCCAGCAGCAGCCGCCGUAA